UGAGCAUAGUAAGCUGGCGCGGGUA
rnacentral:piRNA from 1 species